AGGUAAGGACACAAGGUAAAGGCCGUUGUCCAUGAACCAGAAAGUGGGCUGAAGCCUUGAUCUUGGACUUCCUAGCCUGCAGAACCAUGAGAAGCACUGAACUUUUACUGGGAGCUGACCACGUACCAUGUACGACCUGAGCAAUUUUCCAUCAUUCACCCCUGGAAUCCUCCCCAGAGCCCCGGGGAAGCGAGAACGGUGCUCCUGCGCUGGGCAGCACAGAGCGUCGACAAGACUAAGGGGCAGAGCAGGGAUUUGACGCCCAGCAGCCUGGCCCCAGAGACCACACGACCCAUCCUCACACGUGGCUGGACCCCUCGUCUAGGUGCAGGACUGGCAACUGUUAUGAACCCCACUUGGAGAAGCAGAGGCCCCCAGAAGUCAGCACCUUGCCAGACGGUGCACAGUGACUGGUCCCUGGGUUUCUUCAUCCACGAGAAUCUGGGGAUGGCCAUGUCACUUUUCCUGAAGCCACUCCCUUGUCACUUCCUGAAGAAACACUCCACGUUUCUGGGGCAGGGUUCUCCCUGGGGUCUCCUGCCACUGCUCCUGAGGGAAUCCCAGCUGGUAACAGUGCUGUGGUCACCCGAUGUCCUUCCUGGCCCUGGUCCUGAGGGUCUGUCUGCACGGCAUCUUCCAGCUGUGCUCACGAAGCCUGCUCUGAGGGAAGAGUCCAGCAAACUCAUCCACACGACCAGUAACAGCAAACUGCGGUGCCAUCCGUCCAUCCAUCUGCCCAUCUGUCCAUAAACCCAUAUAUCCAUACCUACGUCCUUCUGUCCAUCUAACGUCCAUCCUUCCAUCCACCUGUCCGUUCAUCCAUCCAUCCGUCUGUCUGUUUCCCCAUCUGUCUAUCCACCCAUCCAUCCAUCUGUCCAGUGCUGGGAGUACUCUGCCACCAGCAAGGUGGCCAGUGUGACCAGCUGGUGGUGAGGGGUAAAAUUGGAAAGGUGCCCAUAAAUAGAUCGAUGGCCCCAGAAAUAGCUCUUUAAAAAUUAAAGUUUGAUGAGACUCCAAA